rnacentral:rRNA from 1 species
AGUGAACGCUGGCGGUAGGCCUAACACAUGCAAGUCGAACGGCAGCACAGUAAGAGCUUGCUCUUACGGGUGGCGAGUGGCGGACGGGUGAGGAAUACAUCGGAAUCUACUUUUUCGUGGGGGAUAACGUAGAGAAACUUACGCUAAUACCGCAUACGACCUACGGGUGAAAGCAGGGGAUCUUCGGACCUUGCGCGAUUGAAUGAGCCGAUGUCGGAUUAGCUAGUUGGCGGGGUAAAGGCCCACCAAGGCGACGAUCCGUAGCUGGUCUGAGAGGAUGAUCAGCCACACUGGAACUGAGACACGGUCCAGACUUCUACGGGAGGCAGCAGUGGGGAAUAUUGGACAAUGGGCGCAAGCCUGAUCCAGCCAUACCGCGUGGGUGAAGAAGGCCUUCGGGUUGUAAAGCCCUUUUGUUGGGAAAGAAAAGCAGCAGGUUAAUACCCCGCUGUUCUGACGGUACCCAAAGAAUAAGCACCGGCUAACUUCGUG